CACAGUGCCAGGUUCUGAUCGUUACAGGGCCGCCUCGGUGAACAUAAGCCAGAGGGAGGGUUUCAUUCCACAUGAAGCUGCCAAAAGUUUGUGCUAGCUUGGUGUAUAGGUUUGAUUAAAAGCCUUUGUUCCACAGUUUUUGGGGAAAACAGACACAAGUGCACUCUUCCAGACCACUCUACCCACUAGGUCAGAGGGAAAUUUCAUCUUCUGAAGUAAGUGCUACCUCUUGUCUGUUCCUAGGGACCUCUGCAGAGACUGAGAAGAAGACAGUUUUGCAGGUUGUUAUCUGCCAAGAUGUUACACUUGCAGGGCCCACAGAUGCUUCAGAUGCUAGAGAAAUCCUUGAGGAAGAGCCUCCCUGAAUCCUUAAAGGUUUAUGGGACCGUCUUCCACAUGAACCAGGGAAACCCAUUCAAGCUAAAGGCCCUGGUGGACAAGUGGCCUGAUUUUAAUACAGUGGCUGUCCGACCUCAGGAGCAGGUGAAGUACCAGAUGUGAAAUGAGUAUGCUUUUGUGUUUAUAUUUGCUGUGUGCCUCCUAUGUGCCUGGCAAUGUGGCAGGCCCUGGGGAAACAGAAAUGAAUCACAGGUAUGGUGAACAAGUCCAUGUCCUCAAAAAGCUCACAGCCUGGAGGAAAACACAGAGAAGACAGUAAAUUACAACAGAUGUGAAAAUGUGCAAGAAUAUUUGAACGGUCAAGGUAACAGAAGUAGCACUAGGAGAAAAUCAUUUAAAACUAUAGAGAUUUAAAACUAAAGAGAUUCAGGAAAAGGAUCAGAGAGUUUUCCUGGUAGAUGUUUGCCAAAACUGGAAUUUGAAGGUAAGUUUUUGACAGGCUUACAAGGGCAGGGGAUCCAUUUUAAGCAGACAAAAUCACAUGUACCAAUAUGUAAAAGUACGAAACAGUACAGAGUGUUAGGAAAA